CCUACGGGUGGCAGCAGUGGGGAAUAUUGCACAAUGGGGGAAACCCUGAUGCAGCGACGCCGCGUGAGUGAAGAAGUACUUCGGUACGUAAAGCUCUAUUAGCAGGGAAGAAAAUGACGGUACCUGACUAUGAACCUCCUGCCAACUACGGGCCAGCAGCCGCGGUCAUACGUAGGGGGCAAGCGUUAUCCGGUUUUACUGGGUGUAAAGGGAGCGUAGAUGGCUGCGCAAGUCUGGCGUGAAAUCCCAUGGCUUAACCAUGGAGCGGCAUUGGAAACUGUGCAGCUAGAGUGCAGAAGAGGUAAGCGGAAUUCCAAGUGUAGCGGUGAAAUGCGUAGAUAUUAGGAGGAACACCAGUGGCGAAGGCGGCUUACUGGACUGUAACUGACGUUGAGGCGCGAAAGCGUGGGGAGCAAACAGGAUUAGAUACCCGAGUAGUC
rnacentral:rRNA from 1 species